AAGGAUCAUAGGACGCAGAGCCUGUGUGUGUUACAGCAGAGAAAAGCGCAGUCCUCCUAACAUCAGAUAAAAGAAGCGAUCUGAUUGGUUGCUGUGGGCAACUCAGCAACCAGCAUAUUCAUCUAUCCUGGCCCAUCAAAAUCUUCAGCACCAGGCCCAUGAUCCUCUUAAUCCGGCCCUGCCUGCAGCCACCAACAAGUCAAGCAGUACAAAAGGCAGUGAAUAAAGGACACAUCAUCUUUAUUCUGUAAGUCCUUACGAUUACAGAGAUUCAAUUGAACGCCGAUCCAACCACAUGGAGACAGGUCCAUGAUAGAGACCAUCAGUACAGAUGAACCAACCAGAUGAAAAAGGCAAACUGUGAUAGAACUCCGGGCCUACUAUACAAGUCCUGCUCUUGCAGAAGAUGGUACUGGUAUCACAAAAGAAUAGAGAGGGGACUCAGGUACAGGUGAAAGAUCAAGCACCCCAAGAGGAUGAAGCUGAUGAGCUGGUGUUAGAAGAUAUGGUAGGAGCAGGACGAAUAUGCCCGGAGACGCCGCUCAGAUUCAGUGUUGCAGGCUUCUUAUUACAUAAAGGCAAAUUAUAUCUAAAAAUAGAUUUAAUCCAGCAAUUCAUCAUAUGCAUGCAUC